UACGGAGGUGGCGAGCGUUGUCCGAAGUUACUGGGCGUAAAGCGCGCGUAGGCGGGGGAUUAAGUGAGAAGUGAAAGGCUGGGGCUCAACUCCAUGCAGUGCUUCUCAUACUGGUCUUCUUGAGGGGGGUAGAGAGAAGUGGAAUGGCUGGUGUAGCGGUGAAAUGCGUAGAUAUCAGGAGGAACACCUGUGGCGAAAGCGGCGCACUGGACCACAACUGACGCUGAGGCGCGAAAGCUAGGGGAGCAAACAGG
rnacentral:rRNA from 1 species